rnacentral:rRNA from 1 species
GACGAACGCUGGCGGCGUGCUUAACACAUGCAAGUCGAACGAAGUGGCGAACGGGUGAGUAACGCGUAAUCAACCUGCCCUUCAGAGGGUGACAACAGUUGGAAACGACUGCUAAUACCGCAUACUUUAGGAGGGGCUUGCGUGGGAUUAGCUAGUUGGAGGGGUAACGGCCCACCUAGGCGAUGAUCAGUAGCCGGUCUGGGAGGAUGAACGGCCACAUUGGGACUGAGACACGGCCCAGACUCCUACGGGAGGCAGCAGUGGGGAAUCUUCCGCAAUGGACGAAAGUCUGACGGAGCAACGCCGCGGGAGUGAUGACGGCCUUCGGGUUGUAAAGCUCUGUUAAUCGGGACGCGGUACCGGAAGAGAAAGCCACGGCUAACUACGUGCCAGCAGCCGCGGUAAUUC